CGAUCACGUUACGUUGAAACAUCAAUUCCCGUAUGAUCACCGAAGUUAAGCAACGUUGGUCCUGGUCAGCAGCUAGAUGGGUGAUCGUUUGGGAAUACCAGGUGCUAUA